AAAAAGGUCUUCAACAACAUGAUGACUGUGGUGAAGAAAACCAUGGACAAAGUCCUUCAGCCAAUGUUGGAGAAGAAAAGGAGUUUGGAACAAGAGACAAAAACACUUCAAUACAAUCUGAGAACAGAAGUCGAUCAAAUCCAUCAGACUAUCUCUGAGUUAGAGAACAUUUCUGACAUUGAGGAUUCUGUCAUUUUCCUCAUGACGUACUCGUCUGAUCAAGUGAAUCCUAACCUCACAGACUGGACAGACGUCAAACUGGACACAGACCUGCUUUUUGGCAGCAUGAGAACCAUCACGACCCAAAUGAUGGAAAACAUCCAACUAGAGGUGGAGAAACUGACCCCUAUAGAAAUUUGGCGAGUCUCAAAGUUUCCUGGUACGUUAC
rnacentral:lncRNA from 1 species